GACGAACGCUAGCGGCGUGCCUAAUGUAUGCAAGUCGAGCGGGGUGCCUCCUUCGGGAGGUUACCUAGCGGCGAACGGUUGAGUAACACGUAGGCAACCUGCCCCAGAGUGGGGGAGUAACUCGCGGAAACGCGGGCUAAUACCGCAUGUGGUCCGGGAUCGAGUGGUCCCGGUACUAAAGGAGCAAUUCGCUCUGGGAGGGGCCUGCGGCCUAUCAGCUUGUUGGGGAGGUAACGGCUCACCAAGGCGACGACGGGUAGCUGGUCUGAGAGGAUGGUCAGCCAGACAGGGACUGAGACACGGCCCU
rnacentral:rRNA from 1 species